UACGUAGGGUGCAAGCGUUGUCCGGAAUUAUUGGGCGUAAAGAGCUCGUAGGCGGUUUGUCGCGUCUGCUGUGAAAACUCGGGGCUUAACUCCGGGCCUGCAGUGGGUACGGGCAGACUAGAGUGCGGUAGGGGAGACUGGAAUUCCUGGUGUAGCGGUGAAAUGCGUAGAUAUCUGGAGGAACACCGGUGGCGAAGGCGGCAUCCUGGACCAAUUCUGACACUGAGGAGCGAAAGCCAGGGGAGCAAACGGG
rnacentral:rRNA from 1 species